GCAUUAUUUCAUACUUCAAAUAUCAUUCGCUUCCAACGUAGCAUUCCAAUAAUAUGUUUGGCAGCCUAGAAAAUUCCAAGCUUUAUUAUUAUUUUUUCCUAGAAAAUUCGGGCAUUUAUUUCCUAUGAUAAGAUUCAUCUCUCAUCGGAUUCCCUCCUUUCUCGAAGGUUUGUGAAGUGAAGGGAGAACCUUGGUCUAUAGUUAUUGAAAGUUAUAGCUUUUUAGAGUGUUAUUAUAUCCAACGGAAGAAUAAAUGGCCGGAAGAAAUCGUGGGCCGCCUCUUCCGAUGAAAGGUGCUUCUCAUGUGGGGCUGCCACCUCCGGUCCAUGAACCCUCAUUUGGGAGAGGCCUGGGGCCAAUGCCACCCCAUCCGGCAUUGCUGGAGGAAAUGAGGGAAUCCCAGUUUGGGAUGGGUCCUAGAGCUCUUCCACCCCAUCCAGUGAUAAUUGAGGAGCGCCUUGCGGUUCAACAUCAAGAUAUUCAAGGUCUUUUAGCUGAUAACCAACGAUUAGCUGCGACUCAUGUUGCGCUAAAGCAGGAAUUGGAAGCUGCACAGCAUGAGUUGCAGCGGAUGGCACACUUUGCUGAUUCUUUUCGGGCAGAUAAGGAUGUUCAAAUGAGGGAAGUGUACGACAAGUCAGUGCGGUUGGAGGUUGAUCUUCGAGGGGCAGAGGCAAUGCGGGGUGAGCUUCUUAAGGUUCAGGCUGAUAUUAAGGAGCUUACUGCUGUGAGACAGGAACUUACGGGCCAAGUUCAAGUAAUGAGUCAAGAUUUGGCUAGGGUUACAGCAGAUUUACAACAGGUACCAGCUUUGAAGGCAGAAAUUGAGAACAUGAAACAGGAACUGCAACGUGCAAGAGCUGCUAUUGAGUAUGAGAAGAAAGGAUAUGCAGAGAACUAUGAACAUGGCCAGGUGAUGGAGAAGAAAUUGAUUUCAAUGGCUCGGGAGUUGGAGAAGCUCCGUGCAGAGAUUGCUAAUGCAGAGAAGAGAGCUCGUGCAUCAGCUGCUGUUGGAAACGCUGGUGCCGGUUAUAAUGCAACUUAUGGCACUCCUGAAGCUGGGUAUACUGGAAAUCCUUACCCCGCCAGCUAUGGCAUAAAUCCUAUGCAGGCUGGUGCAGAAACUUAUCCUCAUUAUGGACCUGGACCUGGAUCUUGGGGUGCAUAUGAUAUGCAGCGAGCUCAAGGACACAGAUAGAUUGGUCAUCAGAUCAUGCUAAAAUUGUCUUAUCUGGUUUUCAACCUUUGGUGCUUCUAAUCUGCUGCUUCUGCCAUUAUUGCUGAUUUUUGAAUUUUUUGAGGGAAGCUUUGUUCUUCUCAGUGAUUGCUCGACAUUCCAAGGUUAGAGAAGUUAUUUAGUUGGGACCAGAAUCGUUGUGUCAAAUGCUGGAGCAGGAUGAAGAUUUCAAUGAGACAUGGCAGGUAAUUUACAUCUUAGUAUUUUGAAGACUCUGGCUGUUUGGAUUUGCUUUUCUUGGCAACGAAAAUAGAGGGUUAAUAAAACCACUCACAUAAAAGAGAACUCUAAAAAAUUUAAAGUAAUGAUAUUAGUAGAAGAUGUGAUUUUGUUUUGAAAUAAAGCAAAAAUAAGGUUGCUGUGUGUGAUGAAUAGAAAUAGAGUUGAUUGAUAGACUUAAAUGGGGAACUUUGAGAAAUGUUGAAGAAAUUAGUUGAAGAAGACAGUGAGGGACCAACACUUGCAUGUCUGAGAAACUUGAAGAGCUA